AUGUAAACCGGUAGAGAUCCUUGAAUU
rnacentral:piRNA from 1 species